rnacentral:rRNA from 1 species
AACGAACGCUGGCGGCAUGCCUAACACAUGCAAGUCGAACGAGACCUUCGGGUCUAGUGGCGCACGGGUGCGUAACGCGUGGGAACCUGCCCUUAGGUUCGGAAUAACUCCCCGAAAGGGGUGCUAAUACCGGAUAAUGUCUUCGGACCAAAGGUUUAUCGCCUUUGGAUGGGCCCUCGUUUGUUUAGCUCGUUGGUAGGGUAAAAGCCUACCAAGGCGACGAUCCAUAGCUGGUCUGAGAGGAUGAUCAGCCCCACUGGGACUGGGAAAGGACCCAGACUCCAACGGGAGGAAGCAGUGGGAAAUAUAGGACACCGGGCGAAAGCGUGAACGAGGACUGCCGGGGGAGUGAUGAAGGCUUUAGGGUUGUAAAGCUCGUUUACCCGGGAGGAUAAUAAGGGAACCGGGAAAAAAGGAUCCGGCAACCUCCGU